rnacentral:rRNA from 1 species
ACCGAAUAGCUAGCUUAAUCACUAAUAUAACCUAAUAACCUUAAUAACAAAACAUGACCUAAAAUCAUAAACUAAACCAUUUUUUUACCUGAGUAUGGGAGACAGAAAAGGUCCAACCUAAAGCAAUAGAAAAAGUACCGCAAGGGAAAGCUGAAAAAGAAAUGAAACAACCCAUUUAAGUACUAAAAAACAAAGACUAAACCUUGUACCUUUUGCAUCAUGAUUUAGCUAGUACACUCAAGCAAAGAGACCUUUAGUUUGAAGCCCCGAAACCAGGUGAGCUACCCCGAGACAGCCUAUAAAUUAGGGCCAACCCAUCUCUGUGGCAAAAGAGUGGGAAGAUCUCCGGGUAGAAGUGACAGACCUAUCGAACCUGGUGAUAGCUGGUUACCUGAGAAAUGGAUAAGAGUUCAGCCUCAUAUUAACCCAGAUCAAUAAUAUAAUCGUUAACGAUUGAACAAAAUUAAAACAAAUAACAAAAUUAAAACACAAAAAAAGAAGAUUAAGAGAAAUUUAUGAGAGUUAGUUAAAGGGGGUACAGCCCUUUUAACAAAGGAAACAACCUUUACAGGAGGAUAAAGAUCAUAUUAAAUAAAACAUACUGUCCAAGUGGGCCUAAAAGCAGCCACCUAAAUAGAAAGCGUUAAAGCUUAAACAAAAUAAAGUUAAUGAUUCCGAUAAAUAAUCUUAUUCCCCCAACAAUAUCAGGUUAAUUCAUGCCCACAUGGAAGAAAUUAUGCUAAAAUGAGUAACAAGAAGACCCGCUCUUCUCCAGGCACAAGUGUAAACCAGAUUGGACAAGCCACUGGAAAUCAACGAACCCAACCUAAGAGGGUAUUGUGAACAACAAAAAAAACAAGAAAAGUCCACAAUUAAAUAAUCGUUAACCCCACACUGGAGUGCCAUUUUUAAAGGAAAGACUAAAAGAAAGGAAAGGAACUCGGCAAACAUAAGCCUCGCCUGUUUACCAAAAACAUCGCCUCCUGCAUAACUAAGUAAGUAUAAGAGGUCCAGCCUGCCCAGUGACCACGUGUUCAACGGCCGCGGUAUUUUAACCGUGCGAAGGUAGCGCAAUCACUUGUCUUUUAAAUAGAGACCUGUAUGAAAGGCUAAACGAGGGCUUAACUGUCUCCCCCUUCCAGUCAGUGAAAUUGAUUUACCCGUGCAGAAGCGGAUACAAAAAUACAAGACGAGAAGACCCUUUGGAGCUUAAGGUACAAACUUAAUCAUGUCAAACAACUUAACUCAAGAGCAAAAACUUAGUGAAAAAUAAGAACUUUACCUUCGGUUGGGGCGACCAUGGAGUAAAAACAAGCCUCCAAGUGGAACGGGUAAUAAACCUAAAACCAAGAGAGACAUCUCUAAGCCACAGAACAUCUGACCAAAAAUGAUCCGACUUAUAACAGUCGAUCAACGAACCAAGUUACCCUAGGGAUAACAGCGCAAUCCUCUCCCAGAGCUCAUAUCGACGAGAGGGUUUACGACCUCGAUGUUGGAUCAGGACAUCCUAAUGGUGCAACUGCUAUUAAGGGUUCGUUUGUUCAACGAUUAAAGUCCUACGUGAUCUGAGUUCAGACCGGAGUAAUCCAGGUCAGUUUCUAUCUGUAACACCACUUUUUCUAGUACGAAAGGACCGAAAAAGAGGGGCCCAUGCUUAAAGUACGCCCCACCCCUAACUAAUGAAAACAAAUAAAUUAAACUAAGGGGGGUAACCCCUAUAAGCCUAGGUAAGGCUU